rnacentral:rRNA from 1 species
GGAUGCGGUCAUACCAGCACUAAAGCACCGGAUCCCAUCAGAACUCCGAAGUUGAGCGUGCUUGGGCGAGAGUAGUACUAGGAUGGG